UUUAAUCUUAAAUUUUCCUAUAGUUCAUUUUUAUCCAAGGAGGAUAUACUCUAUAUAAGAACAUAACACUCAUAAUGAAGUCAUAAGCAUACAUGUUAUCCACAGCAUGGUAACAGGGAACAGGAUGCUGCAAACUCUGUCGAGUGCUACAUUGCUGAGUAUAAUGUUGCGAGUGAGGUAGCCAUUGCGAAUAUAUACCGGAUGGUGGAAGAUGCAUGGAAAACUUUAAACAAAGACCUGCUAGAACUUGGUUCGUUGCAUCCGGCGGUAAGACGAGUUAUCGACGCAACAGCCAGCUUGACGCUGAUGUAUGGUGACAAGAAAGAUACCUUCACAUUUGGCGACGACCUUGAAAGCCUUAUUACACGGCUGUUUUUCAGUCCUAUCACAAUUUAGAGCCUCGAUCAUUAAAUGUUUGCAAGUGUUAUUGUGAGAUAGAUUUUCAAAAAUCCAACUCUUUGUUGACGAAUAUAUGUAAGAAGGAAUUGUGUUGUAAUGUAUGCUCAUCUGCAAUAUUAUCAUCUUAACUUCUUUGCCCUCUACGAUGAUUAUGCAUUUAUGCUUGUGGUCUAGACUCUGGAUCGUCUUGUCGUUUAAUCCUCCCAUUUCUGUAAUGUAUGCUCAUCUGCAAUAUUAUCUGAAACACCGUCCACCCCCCGGGGCCGCAAAAGAACGCACAGCCUCCGCCUCACGCUGCAGCUCGCCGGAGCGCCGCCGAUUUCCGACCGUCUCUCCCUUCCCUCCUCCUCCUCCUCCUCCCAGCAUGCACCACGAUCGGCUCCCAGUAGCUCCAUUAUUGAUCGGCUGCAAGUUUGCAACAUGCAUCUGCAGCCGCGUGCCCGUGCCAGCCGGCGGCGGCUUGAAGCUAGCUAGUACCACCAUCUCGUACGACACGAGGCUCUGCUUGCAAGAAGGUCAACCAAUGGGAGGAAUUGUUUGCUUCUACGAGGACAGAUUACUUGAUAUAUUUUCUCUACUUCUUGCUACCACUACCAGUCUGCAUAAGGUAGCACCGAGGGAUCUAUUUUAUUAGAGUCCACAAACCGUAGUGUGCACAAAACAAGUGAAAUGCUAUUGAUUUUUCUAUUCCCAAAGAUUUACUUUCAAUAAAAAAAUACUAACCAUCUGUUAAAAAUCUAUGAAAAUUAUGCUCACCUUUUCCUAGCUUCCUCAUCAAAAUACUUUAUGAAUAACAGCAGAAGAAUGCUCAUGAAGAUCAUAUGCUGUGUGGUCUUGUAAUGUAUAUAGUACUCUCUGUUCCGAGCUAUACUUUACUAAAGCUCUUAAUUCAAACUUGUCUAAUUUUGACCAAGCUUAUAGAAAAAUAUAAUAACAUAUUAACAUCUACAAUACCAAAUAAAUGCACUACGAAGGCAUAUUUUAUGGUCGAUUCAAUGAAACUAAUUUGAUCUUGUAGAUGCUGAUGCUUUUUUUAUAAGAUAGAGAAGUUUGACUUAGGACAAAGCUAAAGUGAACUAUAAUUUGGAACAGAUGGAUUAUCACCAAAAUAUAAUGUAAGGUGCUACCUACAAUUCUUAUUAUUGCCCUUGUGAAGGAUAAUUUAUAUCCCGCACGUAUGUCUUAAUGUUAAUGCGAGAUAAAUGAUAUUACCAUCUUUCAGGUGGUAACAUGCAAAUGAUGGUUAAAUGAUCAUCAUACCUUUUAGAAGCAUUAGCCUAGUAAUGUGCUCAUUUUGAGCUGGUGGAAAGACAUCUCUUUUUGCUUCAUUACAAUCUUGAAGAGUUUGUCUGAUGUCAAUAUAUGAUACACUCAGUUUCUUUCCCUUUUCUUUCAUUCUUUAGAUUAUGUGAUUUGUUUGAACUUUCUGUAUAUUGUCUAUACUUCGGAAGUUCUUCGUAGUUAUUAGCUAGUGCCUACUGCACUGAUGAUGUACGGUCAUCUUUAGGGCUUAGUUUCAUACUUCAUGUAGUAUUGUUGAGUAUUACCGACUUCAUAUUUUAUUAAAAAAAUGAUAAUUGUUUUUUUUGUAUAUUUGAUUAGAAACAACUUGUUCUCUAUCAAGAUAAUAUUCUUCUAUUAUCAGGUAUAAGGACAAUAACACACUUUCUUCAUGGGCAAACCAACAAGAAGAUAGUGGCAAGUGUGUUGAGUAAGCAUCGAAUAUGGCUGUCUCCUUCCUUGUCGGCAAGGCCAUCAACUACCUUGAUCAGUAGGGGAGUGCUGGAGGCAUGAAGGACCUCAGGACCAGGCUCCUGCCUGCCGAGCCCUUGAUCCAGGAGGUGUUCGUGCCCAUCAACCUGGAGAACAUACGAGGUACACAAGGCGCACUCCGGAGUCCACGAAGCUGUGGAGGCUCAGGGAUGCCAUUGGCGAAGUCGGGGAUGCGGUCUGCGAGCUUGAGCACUCCAAGCUCGAGGAGAAGGUCAAGGAUCGCAAGGUUAGUGAAUGGGGCUCCUCCUUUGCUAAGAUGAAGCAUCAAGUUGUCAGAUCAGUUAAGUAUGUUAGCGUUUUGGAGAAGGCUGUGAAAAGAUUUUACUCACAAUGGCACACUCAACAGGCUGAAGAAAGCUCUGGAGGGUUUAGACAGGGCUGCUACGGAUUUCACGGAGAAGCUGAAAUUUGUUCAUGAGCAUGCCAUUAGUCAUGAGAUGUGCGCCUAUUGCAGAGGUUUCUCGCGAAGAAAAUGAACUCUCUGAAACUUUUUAUUGUGGUGACUGAUGUCUAAGAGGACAAGAACAUCAACCAAUGGGAGGAAUUGUUUGCCUCUCUGAGGACAGGGAAGAGUGGAAGUAGGAUCUUACUGAGUACUGACAAGUGACAACUCGUUUGCUAUCAGUGUCAAACUUGGCUGCCAAAGCUUUGGGUGGCCGGAAAGAAUGCCUGGCUUUGCAAAGUCUGGAGGAAGAUGAAAAUUUCACAAGCUUUUCAAUCACCAUGCCUUUCUAAGUGCUAGUCGUCAAGAUUACCCAGCAUCGCAACCAAUUGGAGAAAAAAUCGCUAGGACUUUCAGAAGCUGUCCCCUCAUUACAAAGGCGGUUGGUGCACAUCGAUCUGAAAAACUAAACUACAAUAUGAAUUUUAUUGGAUCUUCACUAUGCGUUGAAGUUUGGAAAAUUUUGAAGAAAAUGAAUAGGAACUUAUGAAAGGACCUAGCUCCGUUGCCGUCGCCGACAACGAGCAAAACCUAGGCGUAGACUACCCUAGCUAUCCUAUACAAGUCCGCACGACGAUUCCCCAGCCCUCCUCCCUCUCCGGUGCCAAACCGGCCGCCGGAGAGGAACGGGGCCGGUGGAAUCGCCACCGGAAGAAGAUCUGCCUCUCGGUCGCUUCUGUUCGCCCGCUCAGCACUGUAGCAGAGGAUAGGGACGAGAGGAUGGGGUUAUGAAGAUAGUUGAAAUGCCGCUACAAUAAAUAACUAAUGAUGUUUGAAAUUUUGGCUUAACUUGUAUAUCAUCUCCGCACUUUCAAUUAUAAUACAACAAAAACACAGUAAAGUGUCCAUAAUAUACCAUGCUGCAACUUGCGAGUACCAUGCGUCGAUGUGCUUUCCAGGGCUGAUGCCUGCCGUGGCAGCUAGAAUCGAUCGUGCUGGGGAAGGCGCCUGGUGACGCGAGAAAGCCAUCGCCAUUCGCCAUGACAGAUCCAACGACGAGCAGCCGGCGGAAACGAGGGACGAUUUUGGAAAAAAUGCCAUCCGAGUUGGCGAGUUUUAUGUAAAUAUUUUGAUCGCGACGUGAUACAAAUUAUUUGGAUCGUGAUUAUUAAUCGUGAUCCAAUUAUGGAGGCUUUACGUAAUUUGCAAAACCUUUCCCCUCCCUCCCACCGUCGGCGGCCGACCGCGAGCGGGGCCUCCCGCUUCCCUUUGCUCCUUACGGAGGACACCUUCAGCACCGGAGACGAGCGUCGCGACCGAUGUAUGUAUGCAUUAUUCGGAAUCUUGAAGUAGAGGUAGCUGCAAACUGAAAGUGUUUUCUGACUUUCUCUGAGUUCAGCAACUGCAAGUGAUAACUGCAGCGUUUGGCGUCAUGGAGUCACCAUCACGGCAUCACCAUACCCGCUGCACUGAAGCUCUAAAUUCUCGGACGGAGUCUGGAGAGUUUUGAAGGAAAUGAAGAGGAACUUCUGAAGAUUCUGGAGGAAAUGGUGUAACACCUACCCAAAGGAGCUGCAAACUGAGAUUGGGGCCAUGUUUGCUGAAGCUCGAUCGUUCUAGUUUGUUUCUUAUUCGUGAUCAGAAGCCGGUGAGUCAUUUCACAGCCGUCUCGUACGUCUUGCCAUUUAAUCUUUCGGUUUCUGUAUGUACAGAUUUGAAGUUCAACAAUAGCAAGACAAGAAUUCAGAGGAGCGUUCAGGUUGGCAGCAUCAACAUGUGAUGAGCAGAGGAAAGGGGAGGCUUCAGACGAGCUUUGUGCCUAUGCUGGGUGAACAAGAUGAGCUUUGUGCCAGGGGCCACGUGAAUGGUGUGAUCACAUGUUUCGUGGUCCAAGGGAUGGGCUGUAGCUGCUGGCUGCUGCAGAGCAGCAGCUGUAGCACGCAAGCUGCAGCAGGCAGCAGCUCUCUGCUGCUGCUGCAGCAGGCAGCUGCAAAGCAGCCAGCCGAACGAGCCUGAUCCACACGUUCUGGAGACAUGGAGACAGAGAGCAUCUUCAACAGUACACUGAGAAAUCUUUUCCCGUUAGAAUUUAGGUUAAGCACAAAGUGUCUUAAAACUGUUUAAGUUAGAAUAAACCAGAAGUCCUUACCGUCCACUUCCUCCGUCUAAAAAACGUGUUUCUCCAUCUUUUAAAAAAAAUGUUUUUAAACAUAUUAUUAGUUAGAAGUGUUUAGACUCGGUAACCUACCGAAGGGUACCCGAGGUAGUGUUUUAUGCGUGGGGCUUGCCGAGAUUAGGAACUCGAAGGUGAACUCGAACACACGAUUUAGAAAGGUUCAGAUUGCUUAUGUCGCGUAAUACCCUACGUCCUGCGUGUUGAUUGGAUUGUAUUGAUUAAAGUUGUUUGGAAGGGAUCCCUGCCUCGCCUUAUAUUGCCGGGAGCAGGGUUACAUGUUGGUUGUUUACAAGUCGAAUUCGACUAGAGAGUCCUACUCUAAUUGCUACGAAUAGUUUUCUAAUUCUCGACUAGUUCUUGUCCUCCACGUAGACCAUGCCAUCCUGCACCGUAGUCUUCAUGUUUGAUAUAUUUCGGUGUACAGUCCCGUAUCUAGGACUAUCCAAAUCUUCAGGUGGAUCCAUAGAUUUAUGGACGGAAAAUACCUCUAAUUACUUAUACUAAUUAUGAGUUUACGGCAGAAAGUUGCAUGUAUUAUAGAAUUAUGAAAAGCAUCAAUCAUUUGCUUGGUUCCAUAAGCUUGUUCGUACUUUUUUAUUAUUAUUGGUGGGGUGGGAGUAUUGAGCCUCACUAGGGACUUGUUUAGUUACCCCAAAAUCCCAACUUUAACACUAUGCAAAAAGAAGAUUCCCCAUCACAUCAAACUUACAGUACAUGCAUGGAGUACUAAAUGUAGACGAAAUCAAAAACUAAUUGUACAAUUUUAUUGUACUUUGCGAGAUGAAUCUUUUGAGACUAAUUAGCCAAUAUUUGAACAAUAAUUCACGAAUACAAACGAAACGCUACAGUAUGCUACAGUGCUGAUACAGUGAUUUUUGGUGACCUAGAAACUUCGUACCCUACUCCGAGGAACCUAAUGGCCUCCAUAAAUAUGCAGCAUACCUUCGAGUAGUUGGUCAUAGUUCAAAGGCGAGGGUGCUGGAGGAGAUCGAUCCUAGAAGCAAUGGAGGGGCCUCCGAUGACAGCAAGUGUAACAACACCGGUGAGCCUUCUUUGCCGGCAACCAUUUAGCAUGUAGAGAGAACCUGAAAUUUCUUUACAUUCCUUUAGCAAAUUAGCAAUCUCGUGCAUCCAUAACUAAGCUGUUUGUUAUCUAAUUUUAAUAAUAUCUUUGUUUAGAAAUAUUAUUAUCUGCUCUGCAUGUCUAGAGGCAUAAAAGAUAAGUAAAUAGCAAAUUGAACAUAUCUUUGUUGUAUUGGAUAGAAGAACCAUUAAUCUAUCCAAAAGCACUAUUUCGAUUCAUUUCUAUCAAACAUUAUGCAUGAAUAUAAUCGAGUUGAUCUCAUAUCAAUACGAAUUUCACAAAACCUUGAAUGGAUAAGUACUUUUACAUGUUUUUCAUCUCGGCAUGAGUUCAAGCGACGCACCGAGGUUGCUGGAAUCGACGUCGAAGCCUCGAAGGGCCUAAUAACAUCAAGCCUUUGUUUACUUCACUCCCAACUCCCAACUUUGACACUAUACAAAAAGAAGAUUCCCCAUCACAUCAAACUUGCGGUACAUGCAUGGAGUACUAAAUGUAGACGAAAUCAACAACUAAUUGCAUAGUUUUGUUGUACUUUGCGAGACGAAUCUUUUGAGCCUAAUUAGUCAAUAUUUAGACAAUAAUUCACAAAUACAAACGAAACGCUACAGUGUCGCAUUUAUGGCAAAAUGCCAAUUUUGCAACUCCCAACUUAGGAAGUAAACAAGGUCCAAGCUUUAGGGCAGCCGCAGUGUAGCAAAAAGCCGAUGCCCCAUCAAGAAAUAAAAAAUUGAUUGCUCAGCUGCAUAUGAGAGGGCAGCUGUACUAUGUUUACUCACAACUGCACCAUGAGUGGGCCCAGUGGGUCCCAUGUUGAUGCUUGCACGCUGCGGUCUUCAGAGCUCGAUGCUCACUUCUCUGAUGCAGGGCUCAAAAAUUUCAAGCAUCGGCCUCCGAUCCACACUGCACUGCGGGUGCUUAGCCUAGUGGCCAUCAGGCCAUGUAGGCACUGACGUGGCAGACAUGUUGUCGUUGGGGUCACGCCGACAUGAUGGUUCAUUUUCAAAACUGCUUUUCUAGGAGGCCUAUUAUAAAAAUUAUAUGCCAAGAGGAACGAUUAGAAAAAAGUAUGAAAUUUGUUCAACCCAGUAUAAUUAUAUACUCCCUUAGUUCUUGUUUAUAAGGUGUGAUAUGACAUGGCAUGGCUUCCCAAAUUAGACUUUGACCAUUCACUCAUCUUAUAUUAUAUUAUUUAUGGUUAUAAACUUAUAAUCAUUGGAGACACUAUAUGAAGUUUACAAUAAAAAAUUAAAAAAAUGUUGACUAAAUUAUUAGUCAAAUGCUGUAAAGUUUGAAUUUUGAUAUGCGUGUACAUCUUAUAAACAGAAACGGAGAAACGGAGGAAGUAAUUACUAGUAAGACCCUACGGGCUAAUUGUUGAGGGCCAUACACAUAAAUAAUGAGACAGAGAGAUGUGCAAUCACUUUUACUAAGGAUGCGUGUAUGUUGGCACACUGUACCUCGACAUGAACGUCUUUAAGAGACUCACUUUUACGAGAACUAAUUUUUAGCACAGGUCAUAUUGGAUGUUUGGAUAUCAAUUAGAAUGACUAAACAUGAGUUAAUUAUAAAACUAAUUGCAUAAGUCGUGGCUAAUUUGCGAGACGAAUCUAUUAAGCCUAAUUAAUUCAUGAUUAGCACAUAUUUACUGUAGCAUCACAUGGGCCAAUCAUGGACUAAUUAGGGUUAAUAGAUUCGUCUCGCGAAUUAGCCUUCAUUUAUGCAAUUGGUUUUGUAAUUAACAUAUGUUUAAUACUUCUAAUUACUAUCCAACAUUUGAUGUCAUCGAUGUGACAGGGACUAAUUUUUAAUCCCUGCAUCCAAACGAGGCCUUAUGGAUUGAUGAAAUUAUCAUAAACUCAUUUCAAUAGUGAUAGAUGAAACACCUGCCAUACCGAAAGAAUAAUUAGUCAAAAAUAAGAAUAUCCAUGCUGAGUGAGAGACUUGAACUCUAGGAGAAACAUAACAAAUUCAACAUUGCUCAGUUAAAAGAAUGUGUUUACUGUGGCUAGGAGAUUACCUGAGGGGGUACUCUUUUUGUUAUUUUCCUCCUUUUUUCUGGCUUUUGACAUAGCGGUAUUAUUUCUACCCUUCUCUAUUAAUAUAUGAACGGCAAGCUCUUGCCAGUUCACUUUCAAAAAAAUAUGUUUACUUAAUCCUUAACUACCAUUUAAUUACUUUCCUUAACUGCUAUCAUUGGAUGAAUUGGACAGCAGCAAAAUAAGCUCACACCUCGCCCUGGUGCGACCCGACUCCCAUUAAGGGCCAGCCUUAGAGCUAGUUUUGUUAGCUUGAAAAAAAUCGGGCCGGUCCGAGCCUUGCCCGAAACAUUAAAAUUAAUUAUUUCUACAUUAAAAAAAUCGUGUGAGCCCAACUUGGACCCUUAUUUGCAGGUACCAUAGAGUUAUUUGCCGAAUUUUAGCCUUGUUUUAAGCCAAAAAAAUCGGAUUUUCUGUCAGGGCUUUGCAAAAUGCUUAGGUCUAGGACGGACAAACAUAUUUGAGGAUUUUCUAGAUCAUAGGCUUGGGUCACAAGUGUGCCGAGUCUGUAUUCUUUGUAAUCUUGUAACAACCCGUGUUCAAAAUCUUAUGACACUUUCUUCCUUGUUUCGUGUAAAAGGUUUAAUCCAGAGACACUAUAUUUGGAACACGAAGACUUAUAAGCUGCCUACUUAGAUUAUCAAGACGGGGACUAUAUAUGCCAUCACAUAGUGUUGAGAGUUCUGGGUCUCACUCAAACUUAAAAAAAAACAGUAGCAAUGGCAGGACUAUAUCGUGUUUAAGGAUAUAACUCCAUGCUAAAUUUGUGAGCCUUACGUUCCUGAACAGAAAAAUGUGUUUACCAAAACAAUAUAUAGCUAGGAUUGGUUGUUUAUUUCAUAUCAUAUUAUUUCUUGGGAAAAUUACAUAAAUUAUAGUCAUGGAGUAUAAAGUAUAGUUGCAUAACUGUAGGUGCAAAAAAAAUGGCUGGAAAAUCGAGUCAGCGCACUAAAGGAGAAGGUAAGGUUGUUGUUUGAGGAUUCCAAAGAUAUAAUCGAGCAAAUGAACCUAGUCGACACUAUCCAACAUCUUGGAAUCGGGCAUCAUUUUGAGAAAGAAAUUGCCAACACACUACGCAAGAUCCAACAUAUGGAAUUCAAUACCUCUAGCCUACAUGAGGUUUCUCUCCGAUUUCGCCUGCUUAGAGAGCAUGGUCUUUGGGUAUCUCCAGGUAUGUAUAUAAUGAAUACACAAUUUCUUAAUAUAUCGCACAAUUUUAAUUGUUGGAGUAUCCAAACCCAACAACGUAAAAGGUAAUUUGUAAUCACAUUUUUGAUUGGUUGACUUCAAGUAACCCAAAGAUGCUACUUUGACUAUAGAAAGGAUAUCAUUGCAACAUAAUAAACAUAUUUUUCCAAAUCAUUAUACAUGCAACUCAAAAUGUCGAGUGAGUCACUUGAUUCAUAUGUAUCUUUUUGCAGAUGAAUUCAACAGGUUUAUGGAUACAAAUGGAAGCUUUAAUAUGGAAAUGACUAAUGACCCAAGGGGACUUCUUAGUCUAUACAAUGCAGCAUAUAUGUUUAUUCACGACGAAGCUCUCGAAGAGGCAAUCUCUUUUGCAAGGCUGCAUCUUGAAUCAAUGAGACAUAAUCUUAAGUAUCCACUAUCUGAGCAAGUUAACCGUGCUCUUCACAUCCCGCUUCCAAGGACCGCAAGGAGGGUAGAGACACUGCAUUAUAUGUCAGAGUAUAAACAUGAACGAGAAUACAACCCCAUCAUUCUGGAGCUUGCGAAGAUUGACUUUAACAAUCUGCAACAACUUCACAUAAAAGAAAUCGAGGCUAUAUCUAAGUAUGCCACUUCAACCUAUGCUUCUAAUAAAACAAAGUUACAAUUUUGGAAAAUGGCUAAACAUGAUCAACCGUAAAAUCAUGAUUUCCCUUCUUUUUUAGGCCAAGAGCAACUCCUCUUUAUUUAGUGAUUAGGACUACUACAAUCCUCCUCCAAAGCAUACAUGAAGAAGGAACAAAAGGGGGCUUCCCUGCAGUUUUCAGUCCUAAGUGCUAACUGUUGUGGCCUCCUUAGUGCAAAGAUGAGAUGCCAUGUUAGUCGAACGCUUUACAUGAACGAAACAGAAAUAGUAUAAAUAUAAAGUUAGCCUUUUGAUAUCUGCUAGAAUCAACAUGAUUUCUAACAAAAUUGCAAAUCAUGUUUUUGCUGAUCUGGGCUUCUGGAGUACCAAAUCAUGUUUUUGCUUCACAAAACUACAAAAUAAUGGCAUAUAGUUAUUAUUAGACACAUGCCCACUAGAAUAACAUUUGACCUUAGGAGAGCAGUGCAUUUCAAGGAUUAAUUUAACAUUCAUUCGAAGUUGUAAGGUUAUUGCAGUUUUAUAGCCACAGCCACAGUAACAUGAGCACACAAAGUGACAGUUAGAUAAAGUGACAGCCAUAGUUUCAGAGUGUUCUGUGGGAACACAUGCAAACCUUGUACAUUAAUUGUUGUUUACAAGGCACCAGCUAGUGCUAUCAUUUUUGUAUAUAUAGAACCAUAACAGAAGAAAAACAUUGAUUUUCAGAUGGUGGAAAAAUCUUUAUGCGGAAGUAGCACUAAGCUUCGCUCGAAACCGUAUUGUUCAAUUGUAUCUGUGGUCAUAUGCAGUGUACUAUGAGCACGAAUACAGUUGUGCAAGGAUAAUCCUUACCAAGUUGCUCGCCCUGAUAACUAUGAUGGAUGACAUUUAUGAUACCCGUGCUACUUUGGAAGAGUCUCAAAAGUUGAAUGAAGCUAUAAAAAGGUGAGAUUAUUCAGGUUAAAUAUUACAUUCAUUAAUUAAUUUUUAUAUCUGAAAAACAAAUAUCUUCUACUCAGAUUGCCAUGUUAAGAAUCUGGUGCGUGAAAUAAUUUAGUUAUUGAAUUGGAUGAGUAUAAACCAUUUGAGAGCCUGCAUGGGUUCGUAUGUGGUGCCAUACAAUGUCACGGUUCCCCAGUGUAGAGCUAUUUAGCUAAAAUAUUCAAUACACAUGAAAGCUAUUCAAAAUGCACAUGAAAGAGUAUACCCUUGCAUUAUUCCUGCCGUGAUCUGAUUCUGUUAUAACAAAUUUAUAUGUGGAAAAUCGUACUUUCGUAAAAAAAAGGAUGUGAUAUAUCCUACAAAUCAACUUCAUUAGUAUUUUUAAAAAGCAUUUCAUCUGUUAAAUUUCUAGGGGUAGUUGGGUAGAAUUGUAAACCUUUGUUAAACAAUUAGUUCAUAAAAACUAUUUUUUUCAUUUGAUUAUGAUGGUAACGAACUAUGAGUACACAGAUGUCGUUGUUAAGUACUAUAUAUCUGUAAUAUUGAAACUAUAUUUAAUGUCAAAAUGUAUUUACAAUGUCAUGAAUUGGCAUUUAUAUUGUGGAUUACAUGUUCAUAAAGUACAAAGUUUAGGUGGCAUUUCCUCUUCAUCAGAACGCAAGCUAAGUUGACUUGUCACUGUGUUUGGGCCAUCACCCUAACCUGACCAAUUUUGGCAACAAUAUGCUAUGGAUCAUAAUGUAAGAAUCCAAAGGAAAACAUAGUUUACAUAUUAAUUAUACUUUCUCUGGUUUACCUCUAAACAUUCUUUCCCUAGAACUCAACGACAUGACAACACAGUGAAAUAUGCAUCUAUAGUCCUUAAUUUUAACCACAAGGAAAAUAAAAAUAUAGAAGUCAAAAUGGGACCACGAUGAAUCAGCCAACUAAUAAAACAGGACUGUUGUGAGAUGGGUUAUCGUUCGACAACCAAUAAGAUGUGUCAGUUAGUGUGGCUGUUACCAGAAUUUUAUCUUUAUAACACACUAAUUAACUAGAAUAGAGAUGAUCCAAACAUAUGGUAGAUUCCUUAUCACCAUAAUCCGCAACAGCCAGUUAUUUCUUACUGAUGUAGCUGAACCAUGGGGCUUCUAGUCCAAACUCUAAAAUACAGGGGUAGAUAGACUUAUUGGUAAUUAUUUGGCCAUCCACUAUGCCAGCUAUGCCAAUUAUUAGGACGCUUGAGAUGCAGCUUAUACAGUAUUUUUCUUUUUUAGUACAAUCUAGACUCUAAGGACAAGUGAUGAGAGGGAAGCAGUUUCUAUUCAGUGGUAUCGUCGAAAAUAAUAAUGAUAAUAAUAAUGUAUCUGCAGAUGGGAUGAGAGUGUUGUUUCUAUUCUACCAGAGUAUCUCAAGAAGUUCUACCUCAGGAUAUUAAGAACCUUCAAAGAGAUUCAGGAUAUGCUGGCACCAAAUGAGCAGUACAAGGUUUCCUACGCCCAGAAAUCGGUACACAUGACUAUUCUACACGUGAAUUGCAUUUUAUAGAUCAAUGACCUCAUUUUUAGGGGGGUAAAUGAGGCAAAACCCUGCAACCCUCUGUUAAUUUUGGGGGAACCUAACUGAAACCACAACCAAUUCCUGCUGUGCAGUUUCAGACACUAUCCAAUUACUACCUUCAAGGAGCGGAGUGGUUCCAUUGCAAGAAAACACCGACAUUCAAAGAGAAAGUAGAAGCAUCUUUGAUGGAUUCAGGUGGUCCAUUCUCAUGUGUUGCACUACUAGUUGGCAUGGGUGACAUAGCAUCGAAGGAGGCUCUUGACUGGGCGCUUGGCUGUACCGGUGCCGUGAGAGCAUGUGGAGAGAUAACGCGUUACAUGAAUGACAUCACUGCACUAAAGGUAUUAGUUUAAUCUUAAAUUUUCCUAUAGUUCAUUUUUAUCCAAGGAGGAUAUACUCUAUAUAAGAACAUAACACUCAUAAUGAAGUCAUAAGCAUACAUGUUAUCCACAGCAUGGUAACAGGGAACAGGAUGCUACAAACUCUGUCGAGUGCUACAUUGCUGAGUAUAAUGUUGCGAGUGAGGUAGCCAUUGUGAAUAUAUACCGGAUGGUGGAAGAUGCAUGGAAAACUUUAAACAAAGACCUGCUAGAACUUGGUUCGUUGCGUCCGGCGGUAAGACGAGUUAUCAACGUAACAGCCACCUUGACGCUGAUGUAUGGUGACAAGAAAGAUAUCUUCACAU
rnacentral:lncRNA from 1 species